UCACCCAGCUCGUCAUGCUAGAGCACUUUUUUAAUGUGCUCCCCAACGAGAAGGCAAUGACGCAAUUGUAUGUCAAUCCAUAUCGACUUUCGAUGGCAUUGACUGAACCUACCAUGGUGACCACGGGUAACGGGGAAUCAGGGUUCAAUUUCGUACAGGGACCCUGACAAACGGCUACCACAUGCAAGGAAGGUAGCAGGCGUGCAAAUGACCCACUUCCGACGCGGGAAGGUAGUGAUGA